UACGGAAGGGGCAAGCGUUGUUCGGAAUCAUUGGGCGUAAAGGGCGCGUAGGUGGUUCUGUAUGUCUACCGUGAAAGCAUACAGCUCAACUGUAUUUUGUCGGUAGAAACUGCAGGACUUGAGGCUGGGAGGGGCUGGUGGAAUUCCCUGUGUAGCGGUGAAAUGCAUAGAGAUGGGGGAGAACACUCGUGGCGAAGGCGGCCAGCUAGACCAGUUCUGACACUGAGGCGCGACAGCGUGGGGAGCAAACAGG
rnacentral:rRNA from 1 species